GAUGAACGCUGGCGGCGUGCCUAAUACAUGCAAGUCGAGCGAACGGACGAGAAGCUUGCUUCUCUGAUGUUAGCGGCGGACGGGUGAGUAACACGUGGAUAACCUACCUAUAAGACUGGGAUAACUUCGGGAAACCGGAGCUAAUACCGGAUAAUAUUUUGAACCGCAUGGUUCAAAAGUGAAAGACGGUCUUGCUGUCACUUAUAGAUGGAUCCGCGCUGCAUUAGCUAGUUGGUAAGGUAACGGCUUACCAAGGCAACGAUGCAUAGCCGACCUGAGAGGGUGAUCGGCCACACUGGGACUGAGACGCGGUCCAGACUCCUACGGGAGGCAGCAGUAGGGAAUCGUCCGCAAUGGGCGGAAGCCUGACGGAGCAACGCCGCGUGAGUGAUGAAGGUCUUCGGGUCGUAAAACUCUGUUAUUAGGGAAGAACAUAUGUGUAAGUAACUGUGCACAUCUUGACGGUACCUGAUCAGAAAGCCACGGCUAACUACGUG
rnacentral:rRNA from 1 species